UUAAUAGUUGAAUAUUGCAACUACAUUUAUGAAUGAAUUGUUCUCGCAAGGAUAUAUUUACCAUGUCUCUAAGAAAUUGGCUCCACUGAUAAAUAUAUGAUUUCUAAACUGAUUAAGUUUUAAGGUAUAGACUUUAAGGUUUGCAAAGGCCAACCUCUUUUGAAUUCGCUGCAACUUGGAGUUAACUGUAUACAUUAUACAGCCGCGAACAGUCAAGAAACGUCGAUGAUAAAUUUUCUCAUUGGUUGGUUAUAGUAGUUCUUUUGUAAUGGCAAUAAAAUGUUUUCCACAGGAAGUUUUUGUUCAAUGUUUUUCUUGACAAUUUUUAGUAUUGACAUUUUCUAUACAAGUUUUAUAAUGAUACUUCGCAU
rnacentral:lncRNA from 1 species